CGAUUGACACGACUCUCGGCAAUGGAUAUCUCGGCUCUCGCAUCGAUGAAGUGCGCAGCGAAAUGCGAUACGUGGUGCGAAUUGCAGAAUCCCGCGAACCAUCGAGUCUUUGAACGCAAGUUGCGCCUGAGGCCAACCCACUAAGGGCACGUGCGCCUGGGCGUCAAG
rnacentral:rRNA from 1 species